AAAAUGUAGGCCGGUUAGUCACACCAGCUAAAAAAUUAGAAGAUACAAUACGUCUGGCAGAAUUGGUAAUUGAAGUCCUACAGCAAAACGAAGAACACCAUGCAGAGGUGAGCAGCGGCGCCCAGUGA